CGUGUAAAACUACGUGAUACUGGCAUAGUUUCUCAAAUGAAGGAAAUGGUGAACGAUCCCUGCCUGGAUGUAAAGCUACGGGUCAGAACAGCGCUCGGACAGUUUACGACUUUUGAGGAUGGCUCAAUAUGAUCUUUGUUGAACCAAAGCAAAGAAAACUUAUACUGAUAGAGUUUCUGGAUUUUGGUUUUGACCUUGUUUGUAAGAUACUGUUCAGAUUUUCUCUGGAGGCUUUCAACAGUGUGGCCCGACAAAUUGCUUUGAGUUUUUUGUAGUCAGAGCGGUGUAAGAGCUAUCUUUCAUUGUUGGUACUGCCGACCAGGUUACAUUUGUAAAUCUCAUUCCAUUGAUACAUACAUAUUUUUGUUAAAUUUUUGUAUGUAUCAGAUAGUGAUAUAAACUGUAUAAUUAUGUACCAUCUGAAUUGUAUAUUGCCUGUGAUAGACUGCAGCGGUUUCUUCUAAUUUCUAUUUAGCUGUUUCCGGCUUCAAUCUAUUAGCUUUCUUUUGUCGUGCUAUCAUGUUGAUGCAUUCCCCGUGUUUAUUGCUCUUGUGGAAGCUUAACUUAUUGGGUUCUCGAUAUGGAAAAAACUCUGUUGUAAUUUCUCCUUUUGCUGUUUAUCCAAUAAUCUGACAAUGUAAUGUUGAUUC